GGUGAAAUUCUUGGAUCGUCGCAAGACGGACAGAAGCGAAAGCAUUUGCCAAAAACGUUUUCAUUGAUCAAGAACGAAAGUUAGAGGUUCGAAGGCGAUCAGAUACCGCCCUAGUUCUAACCAUAAACGAUGCCAGCUAGCGAUCCGCCGACGUUCCUCCGAUGACUCGGCGGGCAGCUUCCGGGAAACCAAAGCUUUUGGGUUCCGGGGGAAGUAUGGUUGCAAAGCUGAAACUUAAAGGAAUUGACGGAAGGGCACCACCAGGAGUGGAGCCUGCGGCUUAAUUUGACUCAACACGGGAAACCUCACCAGGCCCGGACACCGGAAGGAUUGACAGAUUGAGAGCUCUUUCUUGAUUCGGUGGGUGGUGGUGCAUGGCCGUUCUUAGUUGGUGGAGCGAUUUGUCUGGUUAAUUCCGAUAACGAACGAGACUCUGGCCUGCUAACUAGGCGUAUUUCCGACAUCUCGAAGGCCCGCCGGCUCGGCGCGUUCGCGCGCCUUGUCGCGCGCGGUUUUUACUGUCGGCGUACAAACAAUUCUUCUUAGAGGGACAGGCGGCUUCUAGCCGCACGAGAUAGAGCAAUAACAGGUCUGUGAUGCCCUUAGAUGUUCUGGGCCGCACGCGCGCUACACUGAAGGAAUCAGCGUGUCCUCCCUGGCCGAGAGGCCCGGGUAACCCGCUGAACCUCCUUCGUGCUAGGGAUUGGGGCUUGCAAUUGUUCCCCAUGAACGAGGAAUUCCCAGUAAGCGCGAGUCAUAAGCUCGCGUUGAUUACGUCCCUGCCCUUUGUACACACCGCCCGUCGCUACUACCGAUUGAAUGAUUUAGUGAGGUCUUCGGACCGGCACGCGGUGGCGUUUCGACGUCGCCGAUGCUGCUGGAAAGAUGACCAAACUUGAUCAUUU
rnacentral:rRNA from 1 species